AAUCGCUAUCCUCAAGCCACUAAAUCCCCUUGCCGGAGUUGCCGCUAAAUUCCCUACCCGAUAAAUCCUCUUCGCACCUCAAGCUAAAGUUACGAAAUCUCUAUCCUCAAGCCAAAGUUACGGAUCGGAGUCAUCGCCAUCCUCAAGUGAGUCGCACCUCAAGCUAAAGCUAUGGAGUCGCCAUCCUCAACUGAGCCGCACCUCAACCGAAUCAUCAACGGAGUCAUUUCAAGCUAAAGCUACGGAGUCGCACAUUCAUCUGCAUCCUCAACCAAAAGGUGUACUUUGAACUCCAGCACCACGCCCCUCAUUUGAAGAGAAUCAUUUAGUGCUCAUCCGGUGCUAACUUUCCCUCGAGACGAUGCUAUGCACCUUUACAAAGCUCACUGAAUUAUUUGGUUUGUAAAAAUUGUAGUAAUUUUUAACAAUUCAGAAAAUUUACUGAAUUAUUUGGUUUUACAGAGGUAAAAUAGCUCACUUCUCGACUUCGCAGGAUCAAAUUUCUGUUGUCCAGCAACACAAACCGAAGACAGGGAAAGAUGAAGAACAGAAGCAGCUAAUUAAAGAAUGUUGUACAGGAGCCAGAAGAAACUGAGUAACUCCAAGUGAAUCCCCGCCCUCUUCUGCCUUAGUGCCUCUGAUGUUGAUAAUUUAAACAAUCCAUUGGCUGUAGACAACAAUCCUCAGCUAAAAAAAUUAUCAAAUUACAUGAAGCAAUCUGCAGAGCUCUUAGAAAGAAGAAGAACCAGUGAUGCAGAGUGUGCCUUGAUUGUUUUAGCUGAUGCUUUGAUGAUAAGAGCAUAAGAGCAUUUACCCAACACUCUAAGACAAGCUUUAAUAUAUAAGGCCCUUGGUUUUCCAAUGCCUUCCUUUGCACAUGUUUCUUUAAUUCUUGCUCCAGAUAGAAGCAAACUUUC